rnacentral:misc_RNA from 1 species
GUGAAUCAUCGAAUCUUUGAACGCAAAUUGCACUCCCUGGUAUUCCGGGGAGUAUGCCUGUUUGAGGGUCGUUAGAAUAAAAAUCGAGGCGUCGCUCUUUUUUUUUAAGGGUGAUCGCGUCGGAAUUGAGCCGUCUUUCAAAUGUUAAUUCAUGUCAAAGUGGCUUAAAAUUUCAUCCAUCCGGUACGAUUAAAGCGUAUUUAAGAUCAAUUUUGAUUAAGAACGCGCGAUGACGUACCAUCUCAUGUAGUACGUUUGACCUGGCGUCGUCAGGAUCAUUCGUAUACGAUACUCAACUUU